rnacentral:lncRNA from 1 species
UCCCCAUCUCCGCUCUUUUUGGUGUGUUGCUGACUUUCUCCUCAGUUUGUCCAAACACUUUCAGUUUUCACUUUCAGGAAGUGUUGAGGUCCACACCCAGCUCGGGCUCUCCACCCCUGCUGGGAAGCACGUGGCUUCCCCUCUGGGUGGAUUUCAAGCAUCCCUGGCGUAGGUGCAGCGGCCUUGCCCUGGGCUUGCCAGCGGCCUUUGGGGUCCCAGUUGGCAGGCAGCCCUGUUCCCUAAGGGUCCCUGCCAGAACCGCUGGUCCCUGGAGCUACCCUGAGGCUCGUGCAUUUCAUACGGCAGUUAUCAGAAGCACAUCUGAUUCAAAGCCACACAGUGUUGCUAUUGAUUGUACAGCGAUGUUGGCAUGGAUCAUUUAAGGCUGUGGCAUGGGAGACAAAAGGCCACACUGAACUCCACAGGGCUCUACGCCAGCCCCUGCCUCCUCCGCCUGUGAUUUGCUAGUGACUGUGAGUCAUUCACUCAUAUCUUCCAGCUGAUAAAGCUAGUGGACAUGAAGGGGAAGUGGCAACGUUUUCUUACCAUCUUAGGAGCCAGAAGCCAAGUCUACUUGCAACUGUUUCUCAGUUAACUUCUUUGUCAGGGAGCACUUACGAGGGCUCAGCGUUUGGAAGAGAAAGUGCCUGAUUGUGUAGACACCACGGCAAAGGGGGCAGAAGGGAGUUAACACAAGGAAGA